GUACCUGACCUGGUUUGAGGCCUUUCUAACAAACAUUGACCUCUCUCAUCCUGGUGCUCUUGAUUACAUCAAGCAUGGAGCCAUAUCGGUCGCAAGAUCUCUGAUCCCAGGGGCUCUUGCAGCGGUGGACAAGACCAUGGAGGAGACAUUCAUGAAGUUUGCGAAGUCUUCAGGUAUGUCAAUGUGUGAACACAAACAUAAUUACAGUCUCGUGUUGGUUGUUGUGAUAAAAUUAAGACUUCUCUCUCUCUACAUUGCAGGUGGUCUACUCGGCCUCUUCAACAACUGCGGUGCAUACUAGAAGUGGUGCCGCACAACCUCUACCCGAGCUCAGCUCUAUGAACUUACUCUGGAGAUUGACGACCCUGAGAUGCCGAAGGCAGGCAAGCACCAUGAGCUGGAGCCUGCCCAGAUCAAAAAGUCUGAGGAGGCGGUGCAGAGUGUCAUUGCUGCCAUCAAGGGCUUCACAAAUCCCUGGAGAAUCCCUGACAAAAGCCGCCUGUACUCCCUAGCAUCUGGGGCUCCAAUCAAUCCAGAGGUUGAGGUUGACGUGCUGCGGGCCGAGGCUGCAGGGAGGGCUGCCAAGGAGCAGUUCAUCCAAGAGCACUUUGUUUCCAAGAAGAAGGAGUUCUUGGACCACCUCAAGAAACUUAAGCUCAAGACGAUGGAUCACUGCAGCAAGAGGGUCAAACUUACAUCUGAGCAGGGGAAGCUCUUUGUGUACCAGGAGCAGAGCAACCUCGCCUAUCAGCUACUCGUAAAGUCACAGAUUAUGGAGAUGCCCAUCAACCUUGAAGAACUCAUGCGGUAUCCCCUCUCACCUGUUCCUCAUGCCCUUGGCUCUCCUGAUGGCUAUUUUGCCAAAACAAAUAAGGCCACCAUCCUUCACCAUCUGCUGAAGGACAGGGAUGAAGAAGUAACUUACCCCAAGGGUGCCCUCUACAUACAGGAUGGCAAUGCCCUCUUCCACAUGAUAUCCAACCUCCCACCAACCUGUGGAGAGAUUUGCAUGCAUGUCCUGGACCUAAUGGUUGCCAGGCACCAUUUUGUGUUCUCCACAGAUUGCUACCAGACAGAUUCCAUCAAAGCCCAGGAGAGGCUCAGGCGUGGCUUUACUGAGAAGUAUAUAAUUGACGGUCCAAAUACCCGGAAGCCCUAUGACUUUAAGUCAUUCCUUGAUAAUGAGCUGAACAAGAAGCAGCUAUGUGACCUGCUUCUCAAGGUCUGGGGGAGCAAUGAGGCAGCAUCCCGGAUUGAAAAGAGUAUGAAAGCAGUGCUGUGUGUUAACGGGAAAUCCUAUGACCUAACAUCAACAACUGGAAAGGUCCAGACUUCUGAGAUCUAUGCACUGCCGUCCAACCAGGAGGAGACAGACAGCCACAUUGUCCUGUACCUCCACCAGGCUGUCAAAUGGGGGUACAAGUCCUGUGUGGUGAGGACGCCUGACACAGACAUUCUGAUGAUCCUCCUCUACCAUGCCAGCAAGAUCAACCUCUCAAUCUACCUUGACCAUACUCAUUAAUGGGACAGAACUGUCUGAAUCACUGGGCCCUGACUACUGUAGCACUCUGCUGGGAUUCUAUGUCUUUACUGGGGAGGACUGUACCAGCACUUUUAAAGGCAAAGGAAAGGUGAAUCCCCUGAAGAAGCUACAGCAGAAUCCUAAACUCCACAAUGCUUUCAGGCAGCUUGGUACAGACUGGCUGGUCACAGAUGAGCUUCAACAGGAGAUGGAGAGCUUCACGUGCAUCAUGUAUGGCCAAGCAUGGAUGACAUCAGUUGACACAGUACGAGACAAGAUGCUGAGAAAAAUGGCCGGUGCUGAUAAAGUCCUGGAAUCAAAAUUAAAAGUAGACCUGGAACGCCUGCCACCCCCCAAAGUCUGUCUCAUCCCACAUGUACAGAGAGCCAACUACAGAGUUGCCUGCUAUAAGAGAGCAGACGAGGCAAUAAUCGAGAGCCCCAAACCAUAUGAUCCAGGCAUGGGCUGGGAGAAGACAGGAGAGGAGGAGGUGUUGGAACCUGUUUGGACAAUUGGACCCAUUCUCCCUCCUUCUCUUCUUGAGGUACUGGCUCAGAGAGCAGAGUCAGAAGAGCAGCCAGCUGGUUCCAACUACAACAACUUGUCUGUGGGUGAAGAGGAUGGAGAGUAUGAACAUAAUGAUGAGGAUGAAGUGCUGGUAGAAAUAGACUUAGAAGAUCUCUUCAGUGAUGAUGAGUAGUUUAGGUCAACUUUUAUUAUUUAUUAUUUUUGGCCAUAAAUAAAAAAAAAAAAAACAGUCA
ensembl:lncRNA